ACAGCAGGGUACAGGGUAGUGGUUUAGUAUAGGCCACAGCAGGGUACAGGGUAGUGGUUUAGUAUAGGCCACAACAGGGUAGUGGUUUAGUAUAGGCCCCAGCAGGGUACAGGGUAGUGGUUUAGUAUAGGCCCCAGCAGGGUACAGGGUAGUGGUUUAGUAUAGGCCACAGCAGGGUACAGAGUAGUGGUUUAGUAUAGGCCACAGCAGGGUACAGAGUAGUGGUUUAGUAUAGGCCACAACAGGGUAGUGGUUUAGUAUAGGCCCCAGCAGGGUACAGGGUAGUGGUUUAGUAUAGGCCACAGCAGGGUACAGGGUAGUGGUUUAGUAUAGGCCACAGCAGAGUACAGGGUAGUGGUUUAGUUUAGGCCACAGCAGAGUACAGGGUAGUGGUUUAGUAUAGGCCACAGCAGAGUACAGGGUAGUGGUUUAGUAUAUGCCAC
ensembl:lncRNA